UCUUUCCUUGUCAUGGAGAGCAAAAGUUACUCAAUGAACGUCUAGUGAGAGUAGCCCUGCUAACACCAUAACAACACUCAUGCACCACCUGGGCUCCUGUCCAGACCAUGGUGCAAUUUUUGGAAAC